AUUCAAAUGAAAUCAUCAUCUAAGAGAAGAAAGAACAGAGCUCUUGAAAUGUCUCAACAAUAUGAUCGAUCCUUAUAGUGAUAUAACAUUCAAAAACAUAAUCAAGGAUGAAUACUAUCCAAAAUUUUCAUUAAUAUCUAUCUCUUACAAGAAGAAUGCACGAAAGGCUCCAAUAACGAGACUUGUCGUCUUAAAAGACACGUUGAGUCUUCCCCAUGGUGCUCUUCAAGUACAAG
rnacentral:misc_RNA from 1 species